rnacentral:rRNA from 1 species
GAUGAACGCUAGCGGCAGGCCUAACACAUGCAAGUCGAGGGGCAGCACGUCUUCGGAUGGUGGCGACCGGCGCACGGGUGCGUAACGCGUAUGCAACCUACCUCUUACAGUGGGAUAGCCCAGAGAAAUUUGGAUUAAUACCGCAUAGUAUACAGAUUCAGCAUUGGGACUGUAUUAAACAUUUAUGGGUAAGAGAUGGGCAUGCGUUCUAUUAGUUAGUUGGAGUGGUAACGGCACCCCAAGACAGCGAUAGAUAGGGGCCCUGAGAGGGGGAUCCCCCACACUGGUACUGAGACACGGACCAGACUCCUACGGGAGGCAGCAGUGAGGAAUAUUGCGCAAUGGAGGAAACUCUGACGCAGCAAUGCCGCGUGGACGAAGAAGGCCCUGGGUCGUAAAGUCCUGUUCAUAAGGACGAUAAUCAUUGGGCUAAUAUCCCGAUGUGAGGACGGUACUUGUGAAGAAAGCACCGGCUAACUCCGUGCCAG